UUGAAAUUUGGAGGUGGGCCUUAGGCCCACUAGAGAAUUUCAGAAAAUCUAAAGGGCCCAUGUAGGUGGUGGCAUGGCAAGGUGGUGGGAGUUUAGUCCCACCCCGCUAGUGGAGGAGAGUUUGGACCCCUUUAUAAGGGUCUCUCUUCCACAUGCUAUUGGAGAGUGAGAAGAGAAGGUGCCCUCGCGCACUCCUCCUCCGCCGCCCGCCUCGCCACGCCACGCCACGCCACGCCACGCCACGCCUCGUCACGAC
rnacentral:lncRNA from 1 species